GAUCAUAUGGUCAAGACAUCAUGAAAGGUCCUUUAGCCCACUAGUCUCUCCCCUACAACUUACAUGUCAUGUAGUCUCUUGAGUCUUUGGUUCCUACAAUAUAGGAUCCUCUCAGUGGAUAUCUUCUAUAUAAGAUCCUUCUUCUGGUUGACCGUUCAAGGAUGGAUAGGGACAGGGACAAGAUGGCGGAGAGUAUAAUAAAUCUCACCCUAGAGAUCCUCUUCCGGCUUACAGGAGAGGACUACACAGUAGUGAAGAAGACCUCUAGUGAGCGCUGUCAGGCCCCUGUAUCUG